UAUCUAUCUAACAUGAACUUCUUUCUUCUUCUCCUCCAUUUUAACUUUAGCCUCUCUUUCUCUUCUCUUUGUUUUCUUCACUUAUACUCACAAAAUCCACCAAUUUGACACCAUUCAACUUGAUCUAAUAAUCAAUCUUUGAGAUUAAAGCUUGAGAAAUGAUAUUUGGUGAAUAAUUUCAAGUAAUUUGGAGGACAAAGGGUGGAGAAUUUCCUACCAAAGACAAGGGAAAACUAAGGCUUAAAAGAGUCUUAUUUAAGCUUGUUAGAGCUUAUGUUUAAGGUUGAAGAUGUUGUUGCUACUUGA